rnacentral:lncRNA from 1 species
ACAGAGUUUCGCUCUUGUCACCCAGCCUGGAGUGCAAUAGUGCCGUCUUGGCUCACAGCAGCCUCCGCCUCCUGGGUUGAAGCGAUUCUCCUGCCUCCACCUCCCGAGUAGCUGGGAUUACAGGCAUGCACCACCGCGCCCAGCUAAUUUUGUAUUUUUAGUAGAGACGGGACUUCUCCAUAUUGGUCAGGCUGGUCUCAAACUCCUAACCUCAUGUGAUCCACCCUCCUCGGCCUCCCAAAGUGCUGGGAUGACAGGCGUGAACCCCCUUGCCCGGCCUAUACUUUGUUUUUCCCUCAUUCCCUCAUGAUAACUGUUAUAUAACCAAUAGAGUAUUAAAUUGAUUGAACCAACAUUCAAUGCAUACAUUCUUAUGUCUGUGUGAGUCUUGUUCACAUGAACCGUGAAGGAUGC